AGCCCCAGUCCAGAUGCAGGCACCCUGCGGGGUUCGCUCAGGGCGGUCCGGCCCUCUCUAAAGGGCGAACCAAGGGAGAAAGCCCUUUUCAGUCCCUAACAGGCCUGGGUUGGGGACACCAUUCAGGGCCCCAUGUUCUAAUUUUGGAGAGAGCGAAGAGGAGUCGUCCCAGUCUCCUUUGACCCACUAGUGAAUGCAGCAUCCAGCAGACAGUCCGGGGCCUGCUCUGCCCCCUCCCCACCACUGCCAGGGGUCACUGGGUCACCAGCAGAGGUAGAAAAGGUCCUGUGUGUCCCAAGUCCAGUGACUCAACCUCUCUGGGCCCUGAUUUCAUUCUCUUCAACGGGAGCUGCAGCAGGGGAUUCACUGUUUCCGUGUCUUUGUUGUACAUGUGUAGAGAUACGUUGUAUUUAUUUAAUAGGCAGGCUGUUGUAAAUGCUUUGCAUACGUCACUCAAUUGCUCCUCCCAGUAACUAUAGGUUAAGUGUGGUGACCAGCCUCGUUUCACAGACAGCAAAGAAGUGGCAUUGACUGUCGUCGGGCUCCAGGCCCUGCUCUUGACCACCGGGCUUCAAAAUUCUACAAGUUUCUGACUUCUGGGCAGUUUACAGCUUCCUCACACCAUUCUCAGCCUGGGGACAAAGGUGCCCGGUGGUCCCCUCCACCCACUGGGACGCUGAAAUGUAAGUAAAACCGGGCUUCCUCUUGGCAAGGAAGAGGGCCAUGCGUUAUAAAUAAACGCAAGAAGAAGGCCUCAGCGCAGCGCAGCUCUCCGGAAUCCCUGGGGGAUAUUCCAGGGCUCAAGGUCCAAGGGUUAACAGGAAAUCUUCAUUGCCAGAGAUGAGGGACUUUGGGCCGUCAGCCUGGCCCAGAGGAAUGCUAUGUCAGCAAAACUGUCCCGAAGGAAUGUUGGGGGUGGGGCAGGGGGCUUCUUGGCGCCUGGCAUUUUUAAUACCUGGACAGAGGAGGGGGGCUGAUUAGGAAAAGUUCAAAAGGCAAUUCCUGUUGAAUUGCAUCCUUGCAGAGUUAGAGAGACUGUCAGGUCCCACACAGACCAAGAGGCUGCUGGUUAGACACUGCCAGGCCUGGACAUCAGGUCUGCUGAUGAGUUAAAUGUGGGUUCCCCAGGGCUGCACAGGUGCUGUCCUUACCGCUGCUUCAAAUGCGUUUCGGGCUCAUCUUUGUGGCCGCGGCCCCAGUGUCACCCUCAGGCCUCCCUUUCUUCUCUAGAUCAGGUGCUGUGCCGCACUUCCCCAUCCCAGCUCCCCUGCACAGGAGUUUGCCAUUGAUUUUAUUGAUUUUUUUCUGUCCACUGCUCCUGUCUGCCCCUUCCCCACCCCCCAGAAUCCUGGGUGCUCCUUCCCGAGGGCAGGAUCCAGGUCUGUCUUGUGCACCGGAGAUCUGGGGCCUGGCUCAGUGCCUGAGUCCCACACACCUGGGUCUCAGUCCUGUUUCUUCCCUUGCCAGCUGUGUGAGCCUUGGGCGGACUUCUUACCACACGACCUCUCGGUUUUCUGCUCUGCACAAUGGGAGUUGUUAAAUAAAUGAGGAUUUGAGCACAGGGAUGGGGUAAGUGACCGUGCAUGGGAGUUGCCCAUUCUUUUUUCCAGUGGUUAAGGAGGUUCUCCGGCUACCUGUCUGCACUGCCAUGUGCUAUGGAGGGCCACUGUGAUGAGGUCACACACAGAGUCUGAGGGAAGAGGACCAUGGGGUCAGCCAGACCAAAAGAGAGAGGUAGGGCUUGCUUGGCUGACCUGGGAUCCUCCAGGAGGUAUUCUGAGUAUGCACCAUACUUACGCAGGGGUGAGUGUGUGCAAGUGUGAAUGUGCAUGAUUCUGCAUUUGUUAGAGUGGAUACGUGUGUGUACAUGUGCGUAGUUAUAUAUGUAUGUGCAACCUAUGUGCGAGCAUGUGAGUAUGCAUGUGCGUGUGCAUUUGUGUGUGCAUGAGUUCACCUGUGUGCUUCUGGGUGUGUGCCUGUGUGUGCAUGUCAAGUGGGCCAGGAGUAGGAGUGGGGGCAUCCAGCUGGGUGUCUGUCUUCCCGUCAGUGACCCAGUGACUCAGGAAAAUCCCCUGGAACACAUCUUGGGAGCCAGGAAGCAGAGUGAACACAGAUCAGAGGAGAAGGCGGGUGAUGAUGGCCACUCCUCUGGGUGGAUGACACGGGGGCAGGGCCGCUGCCACAGCUUGACACACCAGAUUGACAUCACACCUCUGCCAUUUACUAGCUGUGUGGCUUUUGGCUUGCUCCUUUACCUCUCUAAGCCUCAGUUUCCCCAUCUCUCAGGUGUGCAGGGAGAGUGAACUGAGCCAAUCCCGGUAAAGCACUUUGUGCCGGGAUGCAGAAUAGCAGUGUUGUAAACACUCGAAGCUUGUGUAAACAUUAAACAUCCAGCACGCCCGUUCAGUGUAAAGCACAUGCCAGGACCUCUGCUUUGCAGGUGCCAACUCAAGGAAUCUUUCCCAGAAGCCCAUGAGGUAGAUUCUGAGGUACCCACAAGUUUAGGGGUGAGGAGACUAGGGUGCAGGAGAGGGAAGUCACAGGCCGAGGGUCACACAGCGUGGUGGAGCUGGGACUGGCUCCCGGGCUACAUGCCUCUGAAACCCCCUGCUUUGCUAGCUAGCGAGAUUCACUUUGCUUUCAGUCCUAAGAUGCCAGGACAGGAACAGCCUAGAGUCUGAUCUCCCCUCUGCUCACAUGUGCCCCCAGUUUCACACCAAAGGAAACAAGACCUCACAUGUGCCUGUCUGGAUACAAAACAGGCCAAGUUUGUGCCAGGAGAUGAGAAGAAGUGCCAGGGUGCAUUGGCAUGAACUUCACACGCCAAAGUAGACUUGAAGUCCCUGUUUCUAAUGGAAAUGGGCAAAAGGCUCAAACAGGACUAAGCUGUCCAAACAUCCCUGCCAAGAGCUGCUGACGCCAAAGCCUUACCAUCCCCAGCAGAGCCAUCUCUUGGCUUCCCUCUAAGCCCUACACCCCACCCUGCAGCUGGAGAGAGGGUGCCAGGCUCCCUCCAGACCACACACUGCACAGCCCAGCUCUCCAUCCUUCAGUCGUAGGACUUGAAAAGCAUUGGCAGAUGCUCACAGACAGACUCUGCAUUGGGAGCAGGUAAAAAAUGCCCACCUGGAUUCUGCAGGAGACAGGAGGCUGUCAGCAGGGAGCACCUGGACGCAUCUCAGAUUUGCAGCUACCUGUAGGUUCGUCUUAGCCCAGAAACCGCAGGAAUCUGCCCUCAUCCCACCCACGAGAGCUCAUUUCCAGCCUCCAAACUUAACCGCACAUUGUUUUGUGUCUCUGUCUCUGUGCCUGCCUGUCCCACUGGGGCAGAACCUGAGCUGGCUUGCCUGGCCCUACCCAGUUUCACAAAGCUGUGGACAUGGUUGGGGACCAAUCAGUGCUUGAACCAGGGACACUGCUAGACUCUAUCCAAAACCUCACUCACUGUGCCUUCCAAUUCCAGAAUCACUCAGCUGCCCGGCCCAGCUUCUACUGCGCCAUCUUUUAUUCCUCCUGAGUGCCAUCAAUCAAGAUUAAACUCUGCCAUGUGCCCCUGGCUUUUCCCAGCCCUGCAACCCGGCUUCCCUUCUCACUGGAGCCUUUUGCCCUUUUCCCCCUCCUUCUAAACUGCGCCUGCGCCUCUGGCAUCCCUCCCAGGACCCACUUACCUUCUUAGGCUGGUCCAUCCUCCUCUUUUCAGAGGCGACGUGUGCUGUGCUUGGCCUCUGGCUCACUGGGGACCAGAAAAACAAAAUAUAUCAUCUGACUGCCCUAUUUUUUCUUUUUUCUUUUUAAAUUCUUUUUGCUUAAGAAUGAAGCAAGCCCUUCCCUGCUAUUCUCAGGAAGAGCUUCAAACAUGGCAGGCCACUGGCAAAAAUAUAUCCUCCUUCUCAGAGGGAAAGAAUGUAACUGUUAACAACAACAAAAAAUCACUGGGAUUUGUGGAGCCUUGGGCUUACGAGCCAGUUCACCUCCAUGCACUCACGUGACACAGCGGCACGUGGAGGCGUCACAUCCAUUUUAGAGAGAGGGAAACUGAGGCUCCAAAAGGCAGGGAUUUCCCCAAGGGCACCACUCUUGGAGUUAGGAUAAGCUGCUGGCUUCGGGGAUGAUGAAAUUUCGUUGCAUUUUGUAUGCAUUUAUUGUGCUGAUUUGUGAAAUACAAAUAUUAAACACAUGCAGCACGUUUGGUAACCCUG